UAUAACCCUCUGUGUAUAAAUACAUCCAUCUCUGGUUCUCUUGUAACAUCAUUCCCAUGGCUGUCUACACUCUUGUAGAGAUUCAACUCUCUACAAACACAGCCCCCAAACCCUCCCCUUCCCCACCCCCUCCCAAAAACCAUUUUUGUUUCUACAUAAUAACAUGGAUUCUUGCCAGAUUUGCAUAGAUCCAUCUUCCUCCCAGACGUCGCUUUCCUUGAACUUGUUCUAAUUCUCAUGAAGACAGCGACACUACAUACACAACAUCAAAGUAAAGAUUUGUCAUUCCAGGAUUUUGACUAGUCAGUGAGGGCGAUAAAGGCCUUGCGUACAGGUGGUCCGAAUUGAACCGGAUCUUAGGCUGGGCUUAUAGGGUUAAGGUUGUAGUCUGAGAUAAUUGGGAAAUUUAUAUUCCAAAAAAAAAAAAAAA